rnacentral:rRNA from 1 species
UACGUAGGGUGCAAGCGUUGUCCGGAAUUAUUGGGCGUAAAGAGCUCGUAGGCGGUUCGUCGCGUCGGCUGUGAAAUCCCGGAGCUCAACUCCGGGUCUGCAGUCGAUACGGGCGGACUUGAGUUCGGCAGGGGAGACUGGAAUUCCUGGUGUAGCGGUGAAAUGCGCAGAUAUCAGGAGGAACACCGAUGGCGAAGGCAGGUCUCUGGGCUGUAACUGACGCUGAGGAGCGAAAGCAUGGGGAGCGAACAGG